rnacentral:rRNA from 1 species
UACGAAGGGGGCUAGCGUUGCUCGGAUUCAUUGGGCGUAAAGGGUGCGUAGGCGGCCAGAUAAGUCCGGUGUGAAAGUCAAAGGCUCAACCUUUGAAUGCCGCUGGAAACUGUCUGGCUAGAGUCCGGGAGGGGCGAGUGGAAUUCCUGGUGUAGCGGUGAAAUGCGCAGAUAUCAGGAGGAACACCAAUGGCGAAGGCAGCUCGCUGGAACGGUACUGACGCUGAGGCGCGAAAGCGUGGGGAGCGAACAGG